AGUGAACGCUGGCGGUAGGCCUAACACAUGCAAGUCGAACGGCAGCACAGUAAGAGCUUGCUCUUACGGGUGGCGAGUGGCGGACGGGUGAGGAAUACAUCGGAAUCUACUUUUUCGUGGGGGAUAACGUAGGUAAACUUACGCUAAUACCGCAUACGACCUACGGGUGAAAGCAGGGGAUCUUCGGACCUUGCGCGAUUGAAUGAGCCGAUGUCGGAUUAGCUAGUUGGCGGGGUAAAGGCCCACCAAGGCGACGAUCCGUAGCUGGUCUGAGAGGAUGAUCAGCCACACUGGAACUGAGACACGGUCCAGACUCCUACGGGAGGCAGCAGUGGGGAAUAUUGGACAAUGGGCGCAAGCCUGAUACAGCCAUACCGCGUGGGUGAAGAAGGCCUUCGGGUUGUAAAGCCCUUUUGUUGGGAAAGAAAAGCAGCAGGUUAAUACCCCGCUGUUCUGACGGUACCCAAAGAAUAAGCACCGGCUAACUUCGUG
rnacentral:rRNA from 1 species